rnacentral:rRNA from 1 species
GACAGAGGUGCCGAGCGUUAGGCGGAAUCACUGGGCUUAAAGCGUGUGUAGGCGGACUCGUAAGUGCUUUGUGAAAUCCCACGGCUCACCCGUGGAACUGCUUGGCAUACUGCGAGCCUUGAGCCACUUAGGGGCAACCGGAACAAACGGUGGAGCGGUGAAAUGCGUAGAUAUCGUAAGGAAGACCAGUGGCGAAGGCGGGUCUCUGGACAGUUCCUGACGCUGAGGCACGAAGGCCAGGGGAGCAAACGGG